AAUGGAUAUGUUCCAUUGUCCUGCUUCUUUCAUCGGAUGGCUCUCUUUGGGCUUUUCGAAAAGGUAUCACAUGCCAAGUUUGGCCUCACUGUAUAAAAGUUAUAGAGUCAUAAAGUUUUAAUCAAAG
rnacentral:sRNA from 1 species